UUGCAUCCAAAAAACACCAUACCUACUGUGAAGCAUGGGGGUGGAAACAUCAUGCUUUGGGGCUGUUUUUCUGCAAAGGGACCAGGACGACUGAUCCGUGUAAAGGAAAGAAUGAAUGGGGCCAUGUAUCGUGAGAUUUUGAGUGAAAACCUCCUUCCAUCAGCAAGGGCACUGAAGAUGAAGCGUGGCUGGGUCUUUCAGCAUGACAAUGAUCCCAAACACACCGCCAGGGCAACGAAGGAGUGGCUUCGUAAGAAGCAUUUCAAGGUCCUGGAGUGGCCUAGCCAGUCUCCAGAUCUCAACCCCAUAGAAAAUCUUUGGAGGGAGUUGAAAGUCCGUGUUGCCCAGUGACAGCCCCAAAACAUCACUGCUUUAGAGGAGAUCUGCAUGGAGGAAUGGGCCAAAAUACCAGCAACAGUGUGUGGAAACCUUGUGAAGACUUACAGAAAACGUUUGACCUCUGUCAUUGCCAACAAAGGUGGCGAUAGAUCCUUCCUGGGGGAUGAGGAGCAGUUUCCCCAGAGGCUCGGUGCAGAAGCAGCCCUCUCUGUACACCAGCUGUCCCCGGAGCAGGGUGGCACACACCACGCCUUGCAGCCUGACGCCAAGGGUCCCAUAUGACCAGGUCAGCAUCAUAACCGGGGGCGAGGCUGCCCUUCUGGUUGUCAAGGCGACUGAGCUGGGCUGUGUUCCUGCUGAGGAGUCUCACCACGUCACUCAGCUGGAAGCCUCUCUUACUGGCCGAGCUCCAGAACAGAGGCAGACCUGAGAGAGGUUUAAGAGGUGCAGAGGUUAACAGGCCUGACACGAUCAAAUAUUUCAGAAUUUCAUGAAUUCAGGAAAAUAAGUCAACACUGGUGGAGAGUCGUCCUGGUGUCAGACUUUGACCCCUCUCACUGUCUGAACGGUGAAUAAUUGUUCCGUCUCUCAGCUCUUGUUUAUCUCCCUGUGAACUUCGCCCUGUGUGAGUGACUGUCGGCAGGAUUAUAGUUGGGAGAGAAGGGGCCAAUAAUCCAACCAAAAAGAACAUUUGCUGUACUAUUACACAGGCCAGGUUUAAGAUGUGAAUUUUAGCCAUUCAAACUGAAGCUGCUCCUUAUACAAUGAAUUACGGUGGUUGGUGCAUUAUCUGAAGCACAGCUAAAAGCCCCAUGCGUGAUAAUACACACAUCUUAAUGUACAUUUGCAAACAAACCUCUACAGUAAGCAGUACAGUAUGUUCAUGUCACCUGACAUUUCUCAGAUCUCUGCCCAGUCAAAUGA